UGCUGACGAGCGGCGGACGGGUGAGUAAUGCAUAGGAAUCUGCCCGGUAGUGGGGGAUAACCUGGGGAAACCCAGGCUAAUACCGCAUACGUCCUACGGGAGAAAGGGGGCUNNGGCUCCCGCUAUUGGAUGAGCCUAUGUCGGAUUAGCUAGUUGGUGAGGUAAUGGCUCACCAAGGCAACGAUCCGUAGCUGGUCUGAGAGGAUGAUCAGCCACAUCGGGACUGAGACACGGCCCGAACUCCUACGGGAGGCAGCAGUGGGGAAUAUUGGACAAUGGGGGCAACCCUGAUCCAGCCAUGCCGCGUGUGUGAAGAAGGCCCUCGGGUUGUAAAGCACUUUCAGCGAGGAAGAACGCCUAGUGGUUAAUACCCAUUAGGAAAGACAUCACUCGCAGAAGAAGCACCGGCUAACUCCGUGCCAGCAGCCGCGGUAAUACGGAGGGUGCAAGCGUUAAUCGGAAUUACUGGGCGUAAAGCGCGCGUAGGUGGCUUGAUAAGCCGGUUGUGAAAGCCCCGGGCUCAACCUGGGAACGGCAUCCGGAACUGUCAGGCUAGAGUGCAGGAGAGGAAGGUAGAAUUCCCGGUGUAGCGGUGAAAUGCGUAGAGAUCGGGAGGAAUACCAGUGGCGAAGGCGGCCUUCUGGACUGACACUGACACUGAGGUGCGAAAGCGUGGGUAGCAAACAGGAUUAGAUACCCUGGUAGUCCACGCCGUAAACGAUGUCGACCAGCCGUUGGGUGCCUAGAGCACUUUGUGGCGAAGUUAACGCGAUAAGUCGACCGCCUGGGGAGUACGGCCGCAAGGUUAAAACUCAAAUGAAUUGACGGGGGCCCGCACAAGCGGUGGAGCAUGUGGUUUAAUUCGAUGCAACGCGAAGAACCUUACCUACCCUUGACAUCUACAGAAGCCGGAAGAGAUUCUGGUGUGCCUUCGGGAACUGUAAGACAGGUGCUGCAUGGCUGUCGUCAGCUCGUGUUGUGAAAUGUUGGGUUAAGUCCCGUAACGAGCGCAACCCUUGUCCUUAUUUGCCAGCAAGUAAUGGUGGGAACUCUAAGGAGACUGCCGGUGACAAACCGGAGGAAGGUGGGGACGACGUCAAGUCAUCAUGGCCCUUACGGGUAGGGCUACACACGUGCUACAAUGGCCGGUACAAAGGGCUGCGAGCUCGCGAGAGUCAGCGAAUCCCUUAAAGCCGGUCUCAGUCCGGAUCGGAGUCUGCAACUCGACUCCGUGAAGUCGGAAUCGCUAGUAAUCGGAAUCAG
rnacentral:rRNA from 1 species